GAUGAACGCUGGCGGCGUGCCUAAUACAUGCAAGUCGAGCGAACGGACGAGAAGCUUGCUUCUCUGAUGUUAGCGGCGGACGGGUGAGUAACACGUGGAUAACCUACCUAUAAGACUGGGAUAACUUCGGGAAACCGGAGCUAAUACCGGAUAAUAUUUUGAACCGCAUGGUUCAAAAGUGAAAGACGGUCUUGCUGUCACUUAUAGAUGGAUCCGCGCUGCAUUAGCUAGUUGGUAAGGUAACGGCUUACCAAGGCAACGAUGCAUAGCCGACCUGAGAGGGUGAUCGGCCACACUGGAACUGAGACACGGUCCAGACUCCUACGGGAGGCAGCAGUAGGGAAUCUUCCGCAAUGGGCGAAAGCCUGACGGAGCAACGCCGCGUGAGUGAUGAAGGUCUUCGGAUCGUAAAACUCUGUUAUUAGGGAAGAACAUAUGUGUAAGUAACUGUGCACAUCUUGACGGUACCUAAUCAGAAAGCCACGGCUAACUACGUGCCAGCAGCCGCGGUAAUACGUAGGUGGCAAGCGUUAUCCGGAAUUAUUGGGCGUAAAGCGCGCGUAGGCGGUUUUUUAAGUCUGAUGUGAAAGCCCACGGUUCAACCGUGGAGGGUCAUUGGAAACUGGAAAACUUGAGUGCAGAAGAGGAAAGUGGAAUUCCAUGUGUAGCGGUGAAAUGCGCAGAGAUAUGGAGGAACACCAGUGGCGAAGGCGACUUUCUGGUCUGUAACUGACGCUGAUGUGCGAAAGCGUGGGGAUCAAACAGGAUUAGAUACCCUGGUAGUCCACGCCGUAAACGAUGAGUGCUAAGUGUUAGGGGGUUUCCGCCCCUUAGUGCUGCAGCUAACGCAUUAAGCACUCCGCCUGGGGAGUACGACCGCAAGGUUGAAACUCAAAGGAAUUGACGGGGACCCGCACAAGCGGUGGAGCAUGUGGUUUAAUUCGAAGCAACGCGAAGAACCUUACCAAAUCUUGACAUCCUUUGACAACUCUAGAGAUAGAGCCUUCCCCUUCGGGGGACAAAGUGACAGGUGGUGCAUGGUUGUCGUCAGCUCGUGUCGUGAGAUGUUGGGUUAAGUCCCGCAACGAGCGCAACCCUUAAGCUUAGUUGCCAUCAUUAAGUUGGGCACUCUAAGUUGACUGCCGGUGACAAACCGGAGGAAGGUGGGGAUGACGUCAAAUCAUCAUGCCCCUUAUGAUUUGGGCUACACACGUGCUACAAUGGACAAUACAAAGGGCAGCGAAACCGCGAGGUCAAGCAAAUCCCAUAAAGUUGUUCUCAGUUCGGAUUGUAGUCUGCAACUCGACUACAUGAAGCUGGAAUCGCUAGUAAUCGUAGAUCAGCAUGCUACGGUGAAUACGUUCCCGGGUCU
rnacentral:rRNA from 1 species